UAUUUGAAGUAAAAGUCUUGGAAAAACUUGAUUUUUCAUUGUAAAUCAUUCCCAUUGAAUAUUUGAACGUAAUUUUUACUGCUGUUCGACAGCAGUAAAAAACGAAGGUUCUGUACGUACUCUUGAGCAAAAUUCCCAUUUUUUCCGUACCCUCGUAAAAUUAUUAACAAUCAUAGUAAUAAUGGUUAUGAAAAUAAAACCAUGAUACUUAGUAGUGACAGCUGCUUUUCAGUUUGCAGUCCUCGCAGAACUUUUUAUGAAAAAAUAACUUUUUUUACUGAAAUCAAUUAUAAAAAAGUUUUCUUCCAAAUGGUUCCAACCUACUGAGACAUACUAUAUAUCUUCCUCAACGUUAUAAUUCUUCUGAUCAUUUUGAAAGAGAAAUGAUUACAAUCCGUCCAUUUGCAGUUGAAAAAUGAACAGAAAAAUUCCAAUAAACGUGAUAUACCCAAGUUUUACACACUUUUUACAGUUGUCGAGCUGUUGCGAAUGUCAAAAUUAAAUAGGUUCCCAUGAAGCUCAAUUUCGAUUCCAAUUUUUUUAAAUAAGGUCUAGAUUUGAAAUGAUGUUCAGGAGAAAUUGUAUUGUAUUAUAUUGUAUGAUAAAUAUGAAUUAAACGUUUUUAUGAAACCCAA